ACGCUGGCGGCGUGCCUAAUACAUGCAAGUCGUACGCUUCUUUUUCCACCGGAGCUUGCUCCACCGGAAAAAGAGGAGUGGCGAACGGGUGAGUAACACGUGGGUAACCUGCCCAUCAGAAGGGGAUAACACUUGGAAACAGGUGCUAAUACCGUAUAACAAUCGAAACCGCAUGGUUUUGAUUUGAAAGGCGCUUUCGGGUGUCGCUGAUGGAUGGACCCGCGGUGCAUUAGCUAGUUGGUGAGGUAACGGCUCACCAAGGCCACGAUGCAUAGCCGACCUGAGAGGGUGAUCGGCCACAUUGGGACUGAGACACGGCCCAAACUCCUACGGGAGGCAGCAGUAGGGAAUCUUCGGCAAUGGACGAAAGUCUGACCGAGCAACGCCGCGUGAGUGAAGAAGGUUUUCGGAUCGUAAAACUCUGUUGUUAGAGAAGAAUAAGGAUGAGAGUAACUGUUCAUCCCUUGACGGUAUCUAACCAGAAAGCCACGGCUAACUACGUGCCAGCAGCCGCGGUAAUACGUAGGUGGCAAGCGUUGUCCGGAUUUAUUGGGCGUAAAGCGAGCGCAGGCGGUUUCUUAAGUCUGAUGUGAAAGCCCCCCGGCUCAACCGGGGAGGGUCAUUGGAAACUGGGAGACUUGAGUGCAGAAGAGGAGAGUGGAAUUCCAUGUGUAGCGGUGAAAUGCGUAGAUAUAUGGAGGAACACCAGUGGCGAAGGCGGCUCUCUGGUCUGUAACUGACGCUGAGGCUCGAAAGCGUGGGGAGCAAACAGGAUUAGAUACCCUGGUAGUCCACGCCGUAAACGAUGAGUGCUAAGUGUUGGAGGGUUUCCGCCCUUCAGUGCUGCAGCUAACGCAUUAAGCACUCCGCCUG
rnacentral:rRNA from 1 species